AACAGGUACCGUUGACUUUACCAAAGUAGCAUAUGUCGUGACAAUUCCGACACGGAGAGGGGUUUACAAGCCUGUACCCUGUAUAUCCAUGGCUCCUUGCAACAAGAUGUCUCACCUGCCACUUAUUGUGGGCAAAGCUUUGUGUAAGUUUACUUAUGCUUAUGACACCAAAUCGUGGUACCUCUACAUUUAUGCACCCAUUGCUUUGGAUUUUGACUUGUAGCUCCUUUUGACACAUUUGUGAAAGGUAGGCCUUGGCUACACGUAUAAUGUCUGUGCUUGAUGACAACAACAUCUGGUUGUCGUUUGGACGUUGCUUGGUGUCGUGGCUUUUUGUGUUGUCAUGUUGUAAUUUGAUGGCUAUUGGUUUGCAGGACAUGGGAUUUAUGAUGACUUGGCAUGAAGGUAAUAAUUGUCAUCUUGCAGGCCCGACAAUAAAGUUCCAUGAUAAAAGAUGUGACCGUAGGUUGUAGUAUCACAUUGUGAUAUAAUGGGACUGUAUGAUCAAAGCUUCAUGGCUUAUUGUCACCUCUUUGGGUUUUUU